AUUGAACGCUGGCGGCAGGCCUAACACAUGCAUGUCGAGCGGAUGAGUGGAGCUUGCUCCAUGAUUCAGCGGCGGACGGGUGAAUAAUGCCUAGGAAUCUGCCUGGUAGUGGGGGACAACGUUUCGAAAGGAACGCUAAUACCGCAUACGUCCUACGGGAGAAAGCAGGGGACCUUCGGGCCUUGCGCUAUCAGAUGAGCCUAGGUCGGAUUAGCUAGUUGGUGAGGUAAAGGCUCACCAAGGCGACGAUCCGUAACUGGUCUGAGAGGAUGAUCAGUCACACUGGAACUGAGACACGGUCCAGACUCCUACGGGAGGCUGCAGUGGGGAAUAUUGGACAAUGGGCGAAAGCCUGAUCCAGCCAUGCCGCGUGUGUGAAGAAGGUCUUCGGAUUGUAAAGCACUUUAAGUUGGGAGGAAGGGCAGUAAGUUAAUACCUUGCUGUUUUGACGUUACCGACAGAAUAAGCACCGGCUAACUUCGUGCCAGCCGCCGCGGUAAUAC
rnacentral:rRNA from 1 species